rnacentral:rRNA from 1 species
AUGAAGUUGGAUUCGCUAGUAAUCGCGCAUCAGCCAUGGCGCGGUGAAUACGUUCCCGGGCCUUGUACACACCGCCCGUCAAGCCAUGGGAGCUGGGGGUGCCUGAAGUUCGUGACCGCAAGGAUCGACCUAGGGCAAAACCGGUGACUGGGGCUAAGUCGUAACAAGGUAUC